GCAGAUAGCGUCCCUGCAAAACGCAGUCACCGAGCUCUCCACUGCCGUCGUGGUCUCUCAGAAGACAGUUGCCGAAGCAGAAGCGCGAUGCCAGGAUCUGCAAGCCAGGUGGGAUCGGGCGUGCAGAGAGGGGUUCCCGGGGUCCAGAUCAGAGGGAAUCGGACUCGGACGGAGGGGGCAAUUUAGUAGCCCACUUCGAUGGGAACCUGAAGCAUUAUCCCAAUUUCAGAGCAGACGUCGUAUACGCGCUGCAUUUGCUUCGAAAAGACUUCAAAGAUGAGGAGGAAAAAGUGGGUUUUAUUGUGUCUCAUCUGCAUGGGGAAGCAAGAGACUGGUUACGCAAUUUGUGGCGCGAAGAUGGUCUUGCACGCAGGGACUCUGAUGAAUUUCUCAAAGCCAUGGACGCUUGCUUCCAAUCUACUGUUGACGUUGAUGUGGCACGCCAGGAGAUGCAUGGAUUGCGGCAGGGCAAGGCUACAGUGCGUCAGUACCAUUCUCGCUUUUUUGCAUUGCUGAAUGUGCUGGGCUGGGAAAAGGACUCCCUGGCAGUGAGGGACUUGUUUUGGGAAGGGCUUCAUGGCUCAGUGAAAGAUGAGCUGGCUAGGGAGACAGACCUCAAACCCUAGCAGACGUCGUGCAGAGGGCACUCACGAUAGGGGUGCGCCACGAAGAACGCCCUUGGCACAGGGAGGAGGGGCGUCACGUCCGCCCACCAGCUAGAGCGCCUCCUUUUCCUUCCAGGGACCUGGAACGUUCAAACCUUUCGCCUGUGCUGGCAGCGGGGGGGAGAACCAAUGGAACUGGGUGGUGCAAAGGCUCAGACAGCUGCCGGAGCCUCAGCGUCAGGAGCAGUCAAAGCGAAGCCUCCUAGAGGGACCAGGAAGUGUUACAUCUGUGACAGUGCACGGCACAUGGCUAAAGAGUGUCCCCAGAGGCUCCAGAAGCACACUGCAGCCUUAGCAACAGUAACAGGGGAAGCGUUCCAAGGGGAGCAGUUUCAGGGAAACGAGAAUGCCUGGUUGGAGGGAGAGACGCUGGGGCUCCGCCAGGCAAGUCAGUGAAGCAGUCCCCAGCGCUUUUGCAGCCUACAGACCCCUUACCACCCAAGCCAGUGGUGCAGCUCACUGCUACUCUCCAGCUGCCUAAUGGACUCACCCUGGAAGUCCCCAUUACGAUUGACUCAGGGAGCAACGCAGACUUCGUGGGGGUGCAGUUCGUCAAGCAGCAUCGCAUAGCGCUACUACCAGCCACGCUGCCUCUGAAUGUGGUCACUGUAGAUGGCAGGAAGUUGCUGGGUGGGCAAGUGGUACAACAGACGCCACCCAUGCUGCUGAAAAUUGGGAAUCAUCGCGAGGUCAUCAGUUUCAAUGUCACCCAACUGUCAGACACGCCCAUAGUGUUAGGCAUGAGUUGGCUGGAUAGACACAGCCCAUCAUUGGCGUGGUACCAGCGGCAGCUCACCUUUGGCUCGUCCUACUGCGCACAACAUUGCAUCCAGAUCGGCCAGGAGGAGGAGGGCCAGGAGGAAGGGCAACAGCUGCAUCUAGGCAUGGUGCAGGCAGUGGGCUCCGCACAAGUACAAGGGGAUUUUGGAGGUCUUCUGCGAGAAGGAAGCUGACCAAUUACCACCCCACCGGCCCUACGACUGUGCAAUUGACCUCUUACCAGGGGCGACGCUGCCGACUGCGAAGCUGUAUUCCAUGUCUGAAGAUGAGAUGCAGGAGCUCAGGGAGUUCAUAGAUCACAAUUUGAAGCGGGGAUUCAUCCGAGAAUCCAAGGCAGUGGGGGCAGUCCUGUGUUUUUCGUGAAGAAGAAGGACACGCCCCAAAAACGGCUCAUUGUGGACUAUAGGGCCAUAAACUCGAUGACAAAACCCAAGGCUUUCCCCAUGCCCAAGAUUGACGACCUGCUCGCGACGGUGAGGAAGGGGAGGAUCUUCACCAAGUUGGAUCUACGCGGAGCCUACAAUCUAAUACGCAUGAGGGAAGGUGACGAGUGGAAGACGGCCAUGUUCACGCCGCUGGGCACCUAUGAAUACAGAGUUAUGCCGUUUGGUCUCCAAGGUGGCUCCCACUGUUUUCAAGCAUUCAUGCACCACGUGCUAGCAGGACUCCUCUACAAGAAGUGCGUAUGUUUUCUCGACGAUAUUCUGAUCUUCUCGGAAUCGCAGGAGACUCACGAAAGAGACGUAAAGGAGGUCCUGCAGAGGCUACGGGAGCACAGACUCUACGCCAAGCUGGAGAAGUGCCAGUUCGACGUGACGGAGGUGGAUUUCCUGGGCUACCGGCUGUCCGACAAGGGACUAGCCAUGGACAGCGCCAAGGUCCGCGCGGUGUUGGACUGGAAUAGCCCGCGCAAUCGGAAGGAGGUCCAGCGGUUCGUCGGCUUCGCCAACUUUUACCGCAAGUUCAUCAGGGGUUUCGCGAAAGAGACGGCAGCUAUCACGGACACCCUCAGUUCCAAGAAGAAAAAGUUCACCUGGACGGACCAGGCGGAGCAGUCCUUCAGGAGACUUAAGAGUCUCUUCGCGUCCGAAGACCAGCUGCUACACGUGAAUCCCGGCAGGCCCAUGCGGGUUGAGACUGACGCAUCUGACAGAGCAGUGGGGGCCGUCCUCUUGCAGGAAGAUUCGCAAGAGAACUGGAGGCCCUGCGCUUUCUAUUCCCGGAAGCUCAGCAAGUCGGAACAGAACUACACCAUCUGGGACAGGGAGUUGUUGGCCAUCCACGCGGCUUUCAAGGCGUGGCGGCACUUCCUCAUCGGAGCCAAGCACACCGUGCAGGUCCGCACGGACCACAAGAACCUAGAGUAUUGGCGCACGGCGAAGCUCCAGAGCCAGAGGCACAUGAGAUGGGCGGAGUUCUUUGCGGAUUUCGAUUUCCGGAUAGAGUAUAUCCCGGGAGACAACAACGUCAUAGCGGAUGCGCUCUCCAGGAAACCGCAGUAUCUUGAGGAAGCGGCACCAGUGGCAGCCAGGCACAUUUUUGCACCGCAAGCGUGGGCGUGCGCUUCUGCCGCCGUGGACCUGGACGCGGUACGACGCGCGCUACAGACGGAUCCGUUCGCACAAUCCAAGAUGGAGGAGGUGCGAAGAGGGACAGCAAAGGACGGCGAAUUCCAGAUACGCGACGGCCUGCUGACCCGCAAGGGUGCUCUCUACGUCCCGGGAGACGAUCUCCGCGCGAAGGUUUUACAGCAGUUACACGACGCCCCCCAGCGCGGGUCACUUCGGCAAGGAGAAGACGGCGGACUUAGUAGCCAGAGACUUUUGGUGGCCCCAGAUGCGGGGAGAGGUCGCGGAUUACGUCGCCAGGUGUGACACUUGUCAGAGGUCCAAGCCAGUGCACAAGAAGCCAGCGGGAUUGCUAGAACCGCUGGAGACGCCACUGCAGCCGUGGGAAAGGGUGGCGCUGGACUUUGUCACUGAUCUGCCCAGUUCGCGGGGCAAGACGGCGGUGCUUGUGGUUGUAGAUCUGUUCACCAAGAUGGCGCACUUCAUUCCUUGCGCGAAGGUGGCAACAGCGGAACAGACCGCCAAGCUGUUCAUAGACCACGUGUUCCGGGUGCACGGCUUACCACGGUCCAUUUUGUCCGACCGGGAUCGCCAAUUCAUUUCCAGUUUCUGGCAGACGCUCCUGGGCAUCCUGAAUGUCAAGAUCAACUUAGCGUCGGCGAGACACCCGCAAACCAACGGCCAAGCGGAGAGGGUCAACGCCAUCAUGCAGCAGUACCUGCGAUGUUACGCCAAUCAAAAGCCUGCAACUUGGGUGGACUACUUACCGAUGGCCGAGUUUGCCUACAACAACACGAAGCACGCGUCAACGGGGGUGACACCGUUCUUCGCCAACAAUGGACGACAUCCCAGAACCUUCCCGGCGUUGGAGACAACGACGCAGGGGGAGUCGCAGGGAGCGGAACAUUUAGCAGCAGAAUUGCAGGAGGUCCACGAGGAGCUACGACGGCACUUGGAACUAGCUAAACACGCCUACAAAGUGCAGGCAGACAGGCACAGGAGGGCAGGAGAAGACAUCCAGGUGGGGGACUGGGUAUGGUUAGCAGCCCAGGCGGUGCCGGCCAAGUCGUUAGCUAAGAAGAAGCUAGGACACAAACAGCUAGGGCCAUACCAAGUUGAGGGCAGGAUCAAUCCCGUAGCUUUUCGGUUGACCCUCCCAGAGGAUUCCCGAAUGCACCCGGUCUUUCAUAGGUCGGUGCUUACACCCUACAAGGCCCCACACAGAUUUCAGGAGCCAGGGACGGCACCAGACCCACGUAGAAAGUCACCAGGGGGGGGGAAGUCACCGAGGACCCCGACACUCAACGAGGUCACGGAACUUCUGGACUCGAGAUGGGGGGAGGAGGGAGUGGAAUACCUCCUCGCCAGGGAAGGUACCCCGGCCAGCGCCAACAGUUGGGUGCCAGAUUAUGCUCUGGAGGAACCUUUUCUUAAGGACGAGUUCCAUGCACUCUUCCCACACAGGCCCAUGCCAGAGGAGUAUUUUGACGACUGGCUUUUUACCCCCACACUUUCAGGCAGCACCUUCCGGGGGUUCUCCUCCGCAGAGGAGACCACGCCGCAAUCGAGCCCUCCAAGGGGAUCGUGCUCGGGGGUGGACACGGACCGCUCUUAUUGGUGGGACGAUCAACCAGAAGUGGGGUGGCGAAGGGGGCCUUGGCAAGCAGCUUCGCCUGAAGUAACAGGGGGAGGGAAGGGUUUGGAGGUGUGGGGGAGGACCCCGGUUUCGAGCAUUCCUACACUGAACUGGAAGCAGAGGAGAUCGACGUCGACGAACUGUAUCCAGCAUCUACCCCCGCUACAACGAAGCUCCCGGAACCUGCGCCCGAGCAGCGGGAGGGGGGAAGGGGGCUUCGAGGGGGAUGGAUGUCAGGGGUUCAGGGAGAGAGGCACAGGGUAGGCAGGAGAUGGAGAGCGAUGGGGAGGAAUUCCAAGCCAGCGAGGAAGAGGAUGACAAUGACUCAAGAGAUUCCAUGAGUCUUUCCAGCGAAUCAGAGGAUUCCCAGAAGGGGGCGCCGGUGGUUAAGGCCAGGGAGCCCCAGGGGGGACGUGUCAGGAGCAGGGGGCCAGCGGAGGAUCCCAAAGUGGCAGCUGGGCGUCAGGACCAGCCUCCCCACCAGAGUGCAGCGAAGGGGGUGGAGUUUCCAGUGUGUCAGAGGAAGCAGCUCCGGGAGCAGAGAAAGGAGGGAGGUCAGAGCAAGCCGCCCUUCCGGAAGGGGAGGGAGCAGUGAAGGGAGUAGUGUAACUGUCAAAAGGAAAGUUAGAGGUUUGGCGCGCGCGCCUAGUUCAAAUGUAGAGGCGCGCGGAAGUACAGGGAGCCCGGAGGAGGGGCCAGGUCCCAAUGCCCGCAGGAGGGGGAAGAGCAGUCUGGGGAUUCAGCGUCAGAGGAAUCCAGGAGGGGCGAAACCCCAGCGGGCAGAAGGACCCUGCGGAAAAGGAAGGAGAGAAAGAGGUGGAGCAGCGCAAGUCUCUUAAAUUGGUGCAGGGGAGGGACUGACUCAGAGGGGACUUCAGCGGUCUAAGCGUAAGAGACGUAAGGCUGCGCGCCUAGGAUGUCAAGCAAACCAUGAACUGCAAUAAACACCUUUGUAUAUAAGAAGACAUAGGCAUUGGUCUUUUGUGAGCUGAGACUUGAGGCAGCCUUGACACUAUCGAUUAAUAAUUAAUUCAUCAACAGUGCUCCGAACUUUAUUGAUGCACAAUAAUUGUAUACUAACAUUUAAUUACAGUCAAAUUAUUAAUUGAUUGGUGAUAUUAAUACUAAUU